AAAGCCUGAUCCAGCCAUGCCGCGUGUGUGAAGAAGGUCUUCGGAUUGUAAAGCACUUUAAGUUGGGAGGAAGGGUUUCUGGCUAAUAUCCAGGAAUUAUGACGGUAUCUUAGGAAUAAGCACCGGCUAACUCCGUGCCAGCAGCCGCGGUAAUACGGAGGGUGCAAGCGUUACUCGGAAUCACUGGGCGUAAAGAGCACGUAGGCGGCCUUGCAAGUCAGAUGUGAAAUCCAACGGCUUAACCGUUGAACUGCAUUUGAAACUGCAAGGCUAGAGUAUGGGAGAGGUAGGUGGAAUUCUCGGUGUAGGGGUAAAAUCCGUAGAGAUCGAGAGGAAUACUCAUUGCGAAGGCGACCUGCUGGAACAUUACUGACGCUGAGGUGCGAAAGCGUGGGGAGCAAACA
rnacentral:rRNA from 1 species